GUGUGUGUGUGUGUGUGUGUGUGUGUGUGUGUGUGUGUGUGUGUGUGGGAGGGUGAUUGGAUUUGAGAGCUAAUCACCAAACAACCUGCAGUUGCUCUCUUGAGCUCGUUUGCGCUCAUUUUUUUAAGAUCAUUUUACUACAAAGGGGCAGAAUCAUUCUUGCUCGUAUUUUGAACAUUUCACUCAGUAAAUUGUGUUUUACUGGCUCUAAAGCUAUUUUUAAAGGAGGAGGUCUUGGCUAAUAAAUGGGUCAACAAAGAGAGUGGCUUUGACGUGCCACAUUGCCUUAAAGCCAAUUAAGCAUUGUCUAAAGCUACCAAAGUGACACUAGUGGGCGGAUGAACUCCAAAACAAUUUGUCAGAAAGACAGCUGAUGGAUAAUGGUGUUUUGGAACUGUGCUAAUGUGCUGGGAAACAUUUCCCGACAUACACAUCCGUCAGAAGUGCUGCGACGUAAGUGUUCAUUGUGAGUUGUUUUCGGGUCCACCUGAUGAAUUUGAAUCAAAUGUUCACUUUCCUUCAGCUUCUACUUUGUUUCGUUGUUAAAAAUAUCAACGACUCUUAGUUUUAGAGGUUUUGUUACACUUCAUCACCAGCUACCCUGUUUUUUUUCCGUCCAGUAUUUGGUGCAGAGCAAGUACUGGUCAAAAGCUGUAAACUGAAAACAUCUGCAAACAGCUGCUAAAAAAAUGACUGUAAAACCAAGACAAUGAGUUUAAACAAGACUUUAAAAUUCCCAGAGCUGGGUAAAAACAUUUGCCGUUAUUGAAACUACAAUGUAUCCGUCUCGUCUGUUUUUUUUACUCAUUGUGAGAAUGAAAAAGUGCUUAUGUGCUAAUGUAUUAGUGUUGCAAGUUCACGCUGCCCUACAUCGUUUAGAGCCGGUGCAGAUCCAAGGUAGCUCUUCUCUGCUCCCGCAAUGUAUAUUGAGGUCAGCUCUCUCUCCUUCUCACCAAGACCAAGACACAGUCAAAACCAGCUCUCAUUCAAGCCCAGAAAGCUCUAAUAACCCCCUGAAUGAGCGAGAGGUCCUGCAUGAGUUGAGGUGGAGGAGCAGGACGGGUCUGAGGAGAAGGGAGGAAGAGGAGGGGGAUGAACCCUUCUCUUCCUCACAGCACCGGGAGCAUCCCUCCGAUCCGGCUCUUUGUACUGUAGUCUGUCUGUGAUCAAGUCGAGAAGAAGUUCCUGUGGCGCAUGAGCUCAGAUUUAUCUUUCCUGGGGCUUAAGUUUUGGUGUAAAUCAUGGGAUCUCUGUGUCGGGUGAGCCCGCAUAUUAUCCAACCGUCCAAAACAACAAUACAUUUACAAUUAUAUAAAAAGCAAAAAUUCCCAAAGGAAAAACUGGAAAAACUCAAUAUUUGUGCCAAUUCAUUUUCUAUCAAUCAACAAAUCAAUAUUUUUGCACUGAUUGUUUCAGCAUAGGGUCAAAUGUGUGCAAACAAUCUACUACUUGAUUUAAUUUGAAAAUCCCUCUCUGGAAUCAUUGUCUGCAUGCAGAUCAAUGCAGUCGUGAAGCAGAUUGCUUAAAUGGACUGCUGAGUCAAAGAGAUUUGAUUAGUAUAAACUGGUUUCCCAUAAGUACAACCAGUCGAUUUUUAAACGGCUUUUUUUCCUGAAGACCUUCAUUGGAGCUGCUGGUAAUUGUUGCUGCUAUUAUUCAGUCCAAUAAUUGAGUUCAAUGACGGGACACUCAGCAUCUCCUCUCCCGUAACAUGCAGCAUUUGUGUUUUCUAGUCACGUGAAAUUAAAAGGUCUA
ensembl:lncRNA